rnacentral:misc_RNA from 1 species
AAUGUAUGUGGGCCCUCAGAGACGAUGAAGAUGGUGUUGUGUGCGAUCGGUUCUUGGUUCAUUGCAUUGGGUGCUACAACAGUGAGGUUAAUGAGGGAGCACGGUCUGAGAAUAAACCUUAGGAUACUGGCAUCAAAGAAGAUUGUGAUGGUUUUGUUCAUGUCUGCUCUAUUCAGUAUAUCGAGGAAGGCUUUUGGGCUGUUCCAUAGAGUGUAAAUAAGAAUGAAAGAAAUACGAG